CUGAAUGAAAGAGGACUAAUGAAGAAAUUGGAGCAGGUGGGCGGGAGAGGACAAGUAACUGCAUGGCCGGUGAGAGAAGUGGGAACAGGACACGCAAGAAGGCGAGGGUGGCCCUCAGAGAAGAGUUACAGCAGCGUGGCAGACGCUUCACACCUCAUUGGCAAGCAAGGAGAGCCAAUCACCGCCAACAGAUCCGCCCCUCAGGCUGCCGGUCUAUUCCUCAGUAUCCUUGAUUUUUGUUCUCCUCGCUCUCCACCGCCUCCAUCACCUCGAUCACCUCGACCAUGUAGCCUCGGCCUUCGGGACCCCUCAAGAACACUGACACAAAUUUGAACACUGCCUGUUGUCACUCCAGUGUUCAGGGGCAGCUCAGUGCUCAAGGACACCUCAGCUACACUGUUUCACCGAGAUGGGAAAAUAUUUUUUUCCCCCGUUCAGCUCACUGUUAUUAUUUAACACCUUAUUUAUACAGAAAACCUUACAUCAAAAUCUCAUUACUUCUACCACCUGACAAAGGAAAGAUUUUAACAGUGGCUUCGGGAGGCGUGUAUAUAAAUUCCAGCUAAUUUAGCACUACAUUAAUUUUGAAUUGCAUUAUGCCCUUCCCUAAUAUACUUUCUCGGGAAAAACAUUGUAUUAAAUGCUCUUAAAAUGCUCCUUCUUUGUGAAUUUAAAAAAGGAAAGAGUACAAGCAACUCUUCAUAUACAAGCUGUUUUUGAGGUCGGGGCGGAGGCCUUGAAAACGGAAUAGGUAAGCCCUGUUUGAAUAUCAUGAUAUUCUAAUCAUCCUUUAAUUAUAUUAGAGGGGAAAUAAUCUCAUUACAGACAGAAUACACCGUUAAAUCACUUAUCUUGGCUCGGAGGUGCUGGGUCAGAUAGAGGAGUCGUGCAGCUUGUGUCAGAGGGAAAAACAAGAGGGGAAAAAAAUUGGCCAUGGUCUACUCUGUGGAGAAACACCUGCCAUGAACUCCAAUACCCAUUAUCCCCAACCUUUAGAAAACCCCUCCAAGGCACUGACACACACACACACACACACACACACACGCUGUAUAAUAGAAGUCAACCCCU